UUAUCCCCAUCGUGCACUCUCCUCUCAUGCCUCCAGAAGCGCUAGCGGUGCCUCCUUCUGCAUCCUCGUCACCUGCAUAGGCCCUUGCUCCUCCCCGUGGCUCCCUGAGGUAGAGCCGCGUGCUUCGGGAUGGGGUGGCGCCGGCUGUGGGAUCCAAGCGCGGGUGGCCGGAUCCGGGUGCGGGCGGCUGGAAUCAAGUGCGGGCGCCAGUGGUUGCGGGAUCAUAGCCCAGGUGGCGGCGACGGCAAGACCCCGACACAAGGGUGACGGCAGCGGGAUCCAGGUUAAGAUGAGGUCGAGCAUGCAGGAUGGGAUUUAUGAGAUUAAGACCUACAAAUCACAGGCCCCAUUUACUCCCUACUGUCGGCAGCACUACUCGACAGCACUAUUUUGUUGCUGCUAGUAUCUGGGUGCUCAUGAUUUCCCAGUUCUAAUUUCUGCAGUUUUGUGAUUUGCUCCUACCUUGUACGCAGGAUGCUGGCCUCAAAUUUGACAGUGAUUUUGGUGAAGUUGUCAGAUUCCUUCAAUAAAGACCUACAUCAACCAUGUUGUAUGAGUUGAAAUUUCAAAGAUCUUUGGUCAAAGUGCUACCUAAAUGCUUUCAAAGAUCUUUGGCCGAAGUGCUACCUGAAGGCUUGUUGAGAACACCACCUUGAUGAAAGACUAAAGAUUAACAAAUAAACAAAGGUAUAUACAUGUUAUGGAGACUGGAUCUUGCUUAACCGUGUACCUCUUUAUUUCAUCAAACUAGCAUUUUUAUUUGCCUCAAUUAUAUUUGUGAUGUUGUCAAGCUUGAAUUGUUACAUAGGUUUAGAAUUAGAUUGCACAUACAAAGAUUUGUACCACUGUCCAACUUGCAUUUUGUACACUAAGACUGACUGUUGUUGAUGAUGCCAAACGUUUCUUCUAUGGUUUUGUUGUAACAUGAGUUAUAAACUUGCAACAAUUCUCUUAUUGCUAAUCUUUUUGGUUGUUGCUGGCAUUUUGCUUGUCCAC